CGGGCAGUGUUUCGUAAUGGGAGAAUGGCAGUCCCACCCUACGAGGUUGAACAAGAUGCCGGUUCGAAUCCGGUCUGCCCGG
rnacentral:tRNA from 1 species